rnacentral:rRNA from 1 species
UAUUGUGUGCAUGGAAUAAUGGAAUAUGAUCUCGGUUCUAUUUUGUUGGUUUUCGGAACUCCGAGGUAAUGAUCAAUAGGSAUAACUGGGGGCAUUCGUAUUGCGACGUUAGAGGUGAAAUUCUUGGAUCGUCGCAAGACGGACAUCAGCGAAAGCAUUUGCCAAAGGUGUUUUCAUCAAUCAAGAACGAAAGUUAGAGGUUCGAAGGCGAUUAGAUACCGCCCUAGUUCUAACCAUAAAUAUGCCAUCUAGCGAUCCGCCGACGUUACUUCACGGCUCGGCGGGCAGCUUCCGGGAAACC